UACGUAGGGGGCAAGCGUUGUCCGGAUUUAUUGGGCGUAAAGAGCGUGUAGGCGGCCAGAUAGGUCUGCUGUGAAAACUCGAGGCUCAACCUCGAGAUGUCGGCGGAAACCGCGUGGCUAGAGUCCGGAAGAGGAGAGUGGAAUUCCUGGUGUAGCGGUGAAAUGCGCAGAUAUCAGGAAGAACACCAAUGGCGAAGGCAGCUCUCUGGGACGGUACUGACGCUGAGACGCGAAAGCGUGGGGAGCGAACAGG
rnacentral:rRNA from 1 species